GUGCUCGCGCCAGCAGCACAUAAUACUAAAAUUAGAAUGAUACAGAGAAAAUUAGCAUGGCCCCUGCGCAAGGAUGACAUAUACAAAUUCGGGAAGCAUUCUAUAUUA
ensembl:snRNA U6 U6 spliceosomal RNA